rnacentral:tRNA from 1 species
GGGUGGGUUGACUCAGUGGGUAGAGCUUAGAGCUUGUGACCAUAAGGUAUCAGGUUCGAAUCUUGUCGGAGGCA